rnacentral:rRNA from 1 species
AGAGCGAACGCUGGCGGCAGGCUUAACACAUGCAAGUCGAGCGGAUGUAGCAAUACAUCAGCGGCAGACGGGUGAGUAACACGUGGGAACGUACCUUUUGGUUCGGAACAACACAGGGAAACUUGUGCUAAUACCGGAUAAGCCCUUACGGGGAAAGAUUUAUCGCCGAAAGAUUGGCCCGCGUCUGAUUAGCUAGUUGGUGAGGUAACGGCUCACCAAGGCGACGAUCAGUAGCUGGUCUGAGAGGAUGAUCAGCCACAUUGGGACUGAGACACGGCCCAAACUCCUACGGGAGGCAGCAGUGGGGAAUAUUGGACAAUGGGCGCAAGCCUGAUCCAGCCAUGCCGCGUGAGUGAUGAAGGCCUAGGGUUGUAAAGCUCUUUUGUGCGGGAAGAUAAUGACGGUACCGCAAGAAUAACGCCCGGCUAACUUCGUGCCAGCAGCCGC